rnacentral:rRNA from 1 species
AACGAACGCUGGCGGCAUGCCUAACACAUGCAAGUCGAACGAGAUCCUUCGGGGUCUAGUGGCGCACGGGUGCGUAACGCGUGGGAAUCUGCCCUUAGGUUCGGAAUAACAGUUAGAAAUGACUGCUAAUACCGGAUGAUGACGUUAAGUCCAAAGAUUUAUCGCCUGAGGAUGAGCCCGCGUAGGAUUAGCUAGUUGGUGUGGUAAAGGCGCACCAAGGCGACGAUCCUUAGCUGGUCUGAGAGGAUGAUCAGCCACACUGGGACUGAGACACGGCCCAGACUCCUACGGGAGGCAGCAGUGGGGAAUAUUGGACAAUGGGCGCAAGCCUGAUCCAGCAAUGCCGCGUGAGUGAUGAAGGCCUUAGGGUUGUAAAGCUCUUUUACCCGGGAUGAUAAUGACAGUACCGGGAGAAUAAGCCCCGGCUAACUCCG